CUCUGACAGGGAGCUAAGCAGUGCUCCCAUGCUCUGCGCCUGCUCCUAAGGGUCUCGACUGAAAUCGAGAGAGGGAAAACCUUCAAGUAUAAUGUUCCUUCAGCUUAAAACCUCAUCUGUAAAGGCAUCCAACCAGACGGCAGAGUUCAAAGAAUUUCUGUUUACAUCAGACAAGAUGUCAGUAUGUGAACUGUACCAUCCUGCUUUCCUGGACGAGUGGCUGUCACAUGACUGGAAACUUGAUCAAAUGUGAAUCUGAUUGCUGUCUGAAGACUUUUCUUAUCUGUCCCGAGCACAGCGGGACAGCUGCCAAUCUGAUCCCAGACAUACUGAAAGAACACUGCAAAAUGGCAGGAAAUUCCACUUUGAACAACUCCCAACAACAGCAACAGCACAGAAGAUGCAUUUAAAACCAGGCCAUGAGCCUGUUACAUAAGGGUACAGAGUGAGACUUCAACAAAAGGUGUAUAUUUCUCACGGGGACAAGAAAAAGAGAGCAUGUUGUGGUUAAAAUAGAAAUGCCAACAUAAUUAUAUAUAUAAUAGGCCUAUAUAUGUGUGUGUGUGUGUGUGUGUGUGUGUGUGUGUGUGUGUGUGUGUGUGUGUGUGUGUGUGUGUGUGUGUGUGUG
ensembl:lncRNA